rnacentral:rRNA from 1 species
AGAGUUUGAUCAUGGCUCAGGACGAACGCUGGCGGCGUGCCUAACACAUGCAAGUCGAGCGGUCUCGCCUAUAGCAAAAGGCCUUCGGGCUUCGAGCAAAGGCGAGAUAGCGGCGGACGGGUGAGUAACGCGUGGCUUAUCUGUCCCAGGGAGGGGGAUAACGUCUGGAAACGGGCGCUAAUACCCCAUAUGCCGGUGAGGUAAAAAGGAGAAAUCCGCCCUGGGGUGAGGCCGCGUCCUAUCAGCUAGUUGGUGAGGUAACGGCCCACCAAGGCUAUGACGGGUAGCCGGCCUGAGAGGGCGGCUGGCCACACUGGGAUUGAGAUACGGCCCAGACUCCUACGGGAGGCAGCAGUGGGGAAUAUUGGGCAAUGGGGGAAACCCUGACCCAGCGACGCCGCGUGGAGGAAGGAGCCCUUCGGGGUGUAAACUCCUGUUGUAAGGGAAGAAGACAGUGACGGUACCUUACGAGGAAGCCCCGGCAAACUACGUGCCAGCAGCCGCGGUAACACGUAGGGGGCGAGCGUUGUCCGGAAUCACUGGGCGUAAAGCGCACGCAGGCGGAUGCGCGCGUCGGCUGUGAAAUGCACCGGCUCCACCGGUGCACUGCGGUCGAUACGGCGCGUCUGGAGUGCGGGAGAGGGAAGCGGAAUUCCCGGUGUAGCGGUGAAAUGCGUAGAUAUCGGGAGGAACGCCGGUGGCGAAGGCGGCUUCCUGGCCCGCAACUGACGCUCAUGUGCGAAAGCCAGGGGAGCGAACCGGAUUAGAUACCCGGGUAGUCCUGGCCGUAAACGAUGGACGCUAGGUGUGGGCGGUUUAUCCGUCUGUGCCGAAGUUAACGCGUUAAGCGUCCCGCCUGGGGAGUACGAUCGCAAGGUUGAAACUCAAAUGAAUUGACGG